AAAUCAGCUCCUCUGGUCCCCUUCCUCCCAGCAGGAGGCUCUGCAGGGUGCAGAAUGCAGCGCCGCACUCCAUCCCACCCCAGCAGCAGGAGGUGCUGAAGGCAGCGUGUGAGAUAUCCCACGGCCCUCAGCCUUAUCUGCCAGCAGGGAAUGCAGCUCCGUGUCCCGUGACUGCUGUGAGCCCUGCCAUGUCAGUACAGAAGCCAUUGAAAGAAGUGGCGUCCAGCACUUUGCAGCUACUGCAGUCCCAUCUUUGUUCCACAGAAGUAUUUGGCUCCCUCCUAAAAAAGAGGGAUUUACUUGAUUCCUGAGUAUUUGGGUGUCUGGUACACAGUGACAUUUUCCUGCUCAGGGGGAGCGAAAGGAACCUUCAUAUUACUGUAUUUAGACCUGCUGCUGGAUGUGAUGAUUUCUCAUUCCUUAAAUGGACGAAUAUCUUCCCCAGGAGUGAGUGAGUGUGUGUGUGUGUGCGUGUGUGUGUCUGCUGUUUAACGUUCACAAAGAACGUCACAUUUAGCUAAAACAGGGCAAAUUUGAAAGUGUUUAAAAGGACAGAUUGGUAUUAAGAGAUGGCACUUUUCAUUGCUCCAAGCCAAGAAUCCUUGUGAAAAGAAAACACUACCGAACACGAGGAUGUAAUGAAAAAGUAUUGUCCUGCCUGUGUACAUUUCAUAUACAUAGAAGGUUUUGAAAAUAGAAAGUGCCUGGACAACAGCAGUUGGUGAAAUGUGGAAAAUAUGUUGCUGAGGUAUGUGCCUUGCAAAGUGACUUAUGAGGUUUACAAUACAACCAUCUCUGAGGGUUCGUUUUUCCCCCUUUUCCUCCAUGUCACCCGUGUUCAAUCCAUUUACCAUUAAAUUUCUACAGAGUAAAAGGUAGAUUUCCUCGACUGCCCUUUUCACUCUCUUAGCUUUUCCUUCUGACAGCCUUUACCAGCUGGAUAGGUCAUGUUUUCUCCUUUCCCCAACCCGAUACAAGUCCCAGCAAAUCCCCUCAUAGCACACAGCUGAAAAAGCUCCAUCUUUGGGCCUCCUGAUGGGGUCCUCUGUACUUUGUUGAAGAGACCAAACCCUCCAGCAGAGAAUUUGGAAGAAGCCAGACCUCCUUAGCAGCUGGUAUUUUGGGGAGUCAUGAGUGUCACUCCUCAGUCUCUCCUUUCUCGUCUCUUAGCAGCACAGCAGGAGUUUUAGGGCAUUUUGGUCUUGAUGAACCACAUAGACUGACUGCUAACUUGUGAUUGUUAUUGUUAUUAUAGCUAAAAACAAGCUUCUCAGAGGAGCUGCUGUGUGAAACGUUUAGCCCACCGGACAGUAGACACUGAGAGUGCCAUCGUGUUAGCUGAAAGAUGUCCAGGUAGUCAACCCUUUUUCUGCACACACAACAAGGCAGCACAAGCAGUCACCCACCCUCUGGCUUACUCAAGGACUGUAUUUUAGUGUAACCAGCCUUGGUUUUGGUACAGAAAGAAGAGUAACAGCACAGGUAGGUGGGUGCACUGGGUUUACUGCAUGGUUUCUAUAGGUUUUUGGUACUGAGAGUGAGUGAAGGGAACCAGUUUCAUCUGAACAGUGUCAUUUGAGCACAGAGCAGUGAAACCCUUUGAGCCCGUGCUCUCCCCUAGGGGAGAUAAUAUCAGGCUGGCACUUUCCAGUAAUUUGAGGAUAUAAAAACUCUCCCUUCAAUAGCUGCAAGAGAAACGUGGGGAGCUCAAAAAAUGAGACAAAGUGGGAAAGGAUUAAGCGAGCCGUGGCUCCUGAUCCUCUUUGUCCAACCCUCCUCACCCCCAGGUGUGAGCAAUUAGCCCUACGUGCACCUUUGUCAGAACCAAGAGGAGUUCUUUUAUUGCCUUUUGCAUGCCCAGGGUGUAACCUAACAGUGUUUGAGAUCAGAAGGGGUGGACUGCAGGGUCCCCUGUGAUCUUGUGCUGUUUGCUGCCCAACGUUUUACAGAGCAUUUUACUUGUAGUGUGCCUCAGUUUUCCCACACGAUGGCAAAAAUACCAUCUGGUGCGUCCUGGGAUGUGACAAAUCAAAGCUACAGAGAAAGCAACUUUAGGAAGCAGAUUUCAUGCUAGGUCCUGCAGCUGACACAAACUCCCAUUACUGGCUGUGCCCCGUGGUGCAGUGAUUGCAGCCCCCUGCCCAGCUGCAGCCACUCUUUGAUUGCCUGGCUCCUAUGGCCUGGACUGCACAGCUGUGGGUGAUGAGCUGAACCACCCUCUGGGCUCAGAGGCAGACAUUUUAGAUGUGGUCUUUGUGCAGUGCAAGUGAGCUGCUCCUGGUAGCUGGUGCUCACGACUGCUGGGUCUGCUGCUCCAAGGCAGUGCUGUAGCAGUGCGGAUGGAAGGACAAAAUCUGCCCUGAAAAAGGACUUUCUCAUCUCCAGUGGCAGUCGCUUCUCUCUGCCAACACGUGGCACGUGCAAGUGACAGCAGCAGGAGGAAGCUAUGCAGGGGCCAGAAUCAAAAUCUCCAGGACCAUGCAGCACAGACAAGGUUGGAGGCAAGAAGAAUUUCAAACCAGGUGCAAAACCGUGAGUGUAAUUGGAAAUUAUAGCUUGCAACCAAUACACACUUUUUUUCUUCUUUGCUCUCCAUCUUCAUGCUGAAAUUGCCAUCCUUUUAAAUAAGAGAGGCAUGAUUUGAGACAUGCAGUGCAUGGGACCUGAGAACCCAGAGCAGCAUGCAUCCUUGUCUAGGAGACCGAGGAAACAGUCAUUUGUUUGAAUGCUGAAGGAUUAUUCUUUCCUAGCUGACAAGCAUAUAUAAAAGCAAUGGGUGCUAUUUUUGCUAUACCUGGCUUGCUAGCUUACAACUCUCUAGAUGAAAAGGAUUUGGACCAUUACCCAAGGAAGCCUCCAAACGUUAAACAUACACCGUGCUGAAACAUGCAAGUCUACAGGCAGGGUAGCAGCAGCCUGAUCUCCCCAUACAGUGGCUUGCUGGGGUGCCUGGGCUAUACAGGUUGCAGCGUGGGCAGAGAGCAAAACAUCUUUCAUAUCCAUUUGUUACGUGCACUUGUGCUCAAACUGCAAAUAAGAGCACCCGUUUGGGGCAUCCAUGGUGAGAUCACUGCGGUGACUGGUGGAAAUUGCACAUGAAGGCUAAUUUAACCAGCUGCCAGUGAAGGAGUAGCUUUCUAUCACUGCUUAAUUUCUAUUAACAGUAGAGUCUGUGACCAGAUCAUUCUGCAUCCCCCCUUGCAAAUGUAUUGUAAAGUCUUCUCCGCUCCUAGGCACACCUGGACAAAUCCCUGCUAUCCACAUCAUCUCCUUCCUCCCUCACUUACAAGAAAUUACAGCCAAACCACCAAGUAUGGAUGCUAUUCUUGUUUGCCUUCAGACAGUACCCCAGGAUAAGGCAUUGUAAA